AUGAACGCUAGCGGCAGGCUUAAUACAUGCAAGUUGAGGGGCAGCAUGAUAUACGCGAGUAUAUUGAUGGCGACCGGCGGACGGGUGAGUAAUAGGUAGGAGACCUACCUCAUACAGGGGGAUAGCAUAGAGAAAUCUGUGGUAAUACCCCAUGAGGUUAUAUGAAUAGAGGCAUAUAAUCAAAGCAUAAGUGAUUAUGCGGUAUGAGAGGGGCCUACUGACCAUUAGCUAGUUGGUGAGGUAAGGGCUCACCAAGGCGAAGAUGGUUAGGGGUUUUGAGAGAGAGACCCCCCACAUUGGAACUGAGAGACGGUCCAGACUCCUACGGGAGGCAGCAGUAGGGAAUAUUGGGCAAUGGGCGAAAGCCUGACCCAGCCAUGCCGCGUGAAGGAAGACGGCCUUAUGGGUUGUAAACUUCUUUACUACGCGAAUAGAGGUUAGUACGAGAUACUAAUAGGAAGGUAGUGUAGUAAAAAGCACCGGCUAACUCCGUG
rnacentral:rRNA from 1 species